CUUUCCCUUCCUAUUUUAAUCGAUUUGUGCUAAUAUUGUGUCGCGUUUGCGGAUUUCAGUCGAUAUUUCAACCGUUACAACUACCUACCUACGUUGUCGCGUUGGUGGGUGCCGGGUCUGCCUAUUGCAACGAGCGUCGGGGUGAUCUAUACGAUUAUCCCUCCGACUACCUUCCCUUAACUCCAUCCCACUUCCUCAUUGGCCGCCCCCUGACCGCUCCAGCCGCUGUUGACAUCACCGAGGCACAGACUAGACGCCUGACACGCUACGACAGGAUCGAACAGCUUCGCCAACACUUCUGGAAGCGCUGGGCCACUGAAUACGUCACUGAGCUUCAAAUUCGAACCAAGUGGAAGACAAACACAAAUGAAAUAAAACUGGAUAGUCUAGUUUUAAUCAAGGACGAUCAACAACCACCACUCAAGUGGAGAUUGGGAAGAAUUGCUGAAAUUUUUCCCGGCAAAGAUGGAGUUGCACGCGUCGCAAACAUUCGAACAUCGACUGGAAUAGUGAAGCGGGCGUUUUCAAAACUUUGUCCUCUUCCGCUUCCUACAACAAAUGGAAAUGAAGAUUGCAUCGCUUCAAUCAACAAUCAAUGAAACUGAACGAAGAUCGAAGAACCUACUAUCCGACUACAUUUUGAAAGUCAAUCAUGAGCUUUCAAGGCUGGCGGUAUGUUAGCGCCAUAUAUGGGCGCAAGAAAACAACUCAUGACGUCAAAGGCGCGGAACCAGAGUGAAGAUCGCAGCUAACUUCGCGCCGCUCCGCCCUCCUGUCAACUUAAAUCGAACGUUUUAAACACUCGACAAUUUGAUCUCGUUGCAUACAGUCUGUAAACCUGUCACUUUAAAUAAACGUUAAAACCGUAA